CUGUGCUAGGUGGGGAGUUAGCGGUGCCCUGUAUCUGCAAUCCGCUAUAGCAGAACCGAAAGCCUCCCCCGGAUAUGUGCGUGGAAGGUCUGCGCUCCGCAAGGGAUGUCGAUAACAAGGUCUUAUGCAACGGGCUGCCGCGAACCGUGUCAGGACAGGGAUGUAGCAGCACUAAACGGAUUUGUCCGUGUGCCAUAAGGAAGCUUUGAAGGAGUUACCUGCGGUUUUCACGCUUCGGCGCGCAUUUUCAAAGGAGGAUGCACAG
rnacentral:SRP_RNA from 1 species